AUUCGCGGAGUUAAAAGACGCAGUGUCAAUGUUACACUAGAAAGCUCCUCCCACCACAGACUCCUUUUCAAACUGAGAGGAUUUUUCACGGCGCCAUUUUCUUCACAUCAGUUACACGUAGUUCGAUGAAGAGCACUGACUAUAAGAAAUUACUGUCUACAGGAAGCAUGCCAGAGGAAUUGUAAUGUCUGUACAUGUCACUCUCCAAGGAACAUUAUUAUGAUGGCGAGAGUGGCACUGGGUACUUGGCCUGGAGGAUUAAAACCAUACAGAGAUGCACCGCUAAAGGGAGGCGAUUAUCAUCUGGAGCACCAGGAGAUGGAUCAUCGAGUGAAGACCAGUGUGGUGGACCAACUGUCAGACGAGAGUUGCAGUUUGUUACAGAGAAGGUGCUGAGUGAGGAUGAGUGCAAGGAUACAAUCUCUCUGAUGAAACAUUCAGCUGAUGAAGACACAGUCAAGAAGAAGAUGAAGUUGACAUUUGUUUAUCGACACAGCAUGGUCCUUGACCUCCUGCUGUCAAGCAACAUACUGUC